rnacentral:rRNA from 1 species
GAUGAGCGCUGGCGGCGUGCCUAAUACAUGCAAGUCGAGCGAACGGACGAGAAGCUUGCUUCUCUGAUGUUAGCGGCGGACGGGUGAGUAACACGUGGAUAACCUACCUAUAAGACUGGGAUAACUUCGGGAAACCGGAGCUAAUACCGGAUAAUAUUUUGAACCGCAUGGUUCAAAAGUGAAAGACGGUCUUGCUGUCACUUAUAGAUGGAUCCGCGCUGCAUUAGCUAGUUGGUAAGGUAACGGCUUACCAAGGCAACGAUGCAUAGCCGACCUGAGAGGGUGAUCGGCCACACUGGAACUGAGACACGGUCCAGACUCCUACGGGAGGCAGCAGUAGGGAAUCUUCCGCAAUGGGCGAAAGCCUGACGGAGCAACGCCGCGUGAGUGAUGAAGGUCUUCGGAUCGUAAAACUCUGUUAUUAGGGAAGAACAUAUGUGUAAGUAACUGUGCACAUCUUGACGGUACCUCAUCAGAAAGCCACGGCUAACUACGUG